UACGAAGGGUGCAAGCGUUACUCGGAAUUACUGGGCGUAAAGCGUGCGUAGGUGGUUCGUUAAGUCUGAUGUGAAAGCCCUGGGCUCAACCUGGGAAUGGCAUUGGAAACUGGCGACCUAGAGUGCGGUAGAGAGUAGUGGAAUUCCCGGUGUAGCAGUGAAAUGCGUAGAGAUCGGGAGGAACACCGAUGGCGAAGGCAGCCUCCUGGGCCAACACUGACGCUCAUGCACGAAAGCGUGGGGAGCAAACAGG
rnacentral:rRNA from 1 species